AGGACUAACGCUGGCGGCGUGCCUAACACAUGCAAGUCGAACGAGAGUAGCAAUACUCUAGUGGCAGACGGGUGAGUAACACGUGGUCAACCUACCUCUUAGUGGGGGAUAACUAACCGAAAGGUUAGCUAAUACCGCAUUCGAUCUUCGAUCGGCAUCGAUUGAAGAUGAAAGGCGCAAGUCGCUAAGAGACGGGACCGCGUCCCAUUAGCUAGUUGGUAGGGUAAUGGCCUACCAAGGCGACGAUGGGUAGCUGGCUUGAGAGAGCGACCAGCCACACUGGGACUGAGACACGGCCCAGACUCCUACGGGAGGCAGCAGUGAGGAAUUUUCCGCAAUGGGCGCAAGCCUGACGGAGCGACGCCGCGUGUGGGAAGAAGGCCUUCGGGUCGUAAACCACUGUCGAAGGGGAGAUAUUGACGGUACCCUUGGAGGAAGCCCCGGCUAACUACGCGCCAGCAGCCGC
rnacentral:rRNA from 1 species